UACGGAGGGUGCAAGCGUUAUCCGGAUUCACUGGGCUUAAAGGGUGCGUAGGUGGGUCUGUAAGUCAGUGGUGAAAUCUCCGUGCUUAACAUGGAAACUGCCAUUGAUACUAUAGGUCUUGAAUUUUCUGGAGGUAAGCGGAAUAUGUCAUGUAGCGGUGAAAUGCUUAGAUAUGACAUAGAACACCAAUUGCGAAGGCAGCUUGCUACAGGGAUAUUGACACUGAGGCACGAAAGCGUGGGGAUCAAACAGG
rnacentral:rRNA from 1 species